AUCCUUUACAAACCGGGUGGUUUGGCAUAGAAUGAAGAUGCCGGGCUUGUUCCGGCUAUGACGUUACACGCGGUUGCGGAAUAAGCGUUCGUGGACCCGGGGGCAGUACCCGGCGGCUCCACCAGUAUUCGCAAGGGAAGCAUUGUCCUUGCUAUCUGUGAAUGCCGGCGGGGCCGAAACAGGAUCGACACGCGUAGUAAAGGCGACAGGCGGCGUUCGGUAUAGUAUCCGCCGUUACCGGGCUAUUUUGAUAGUUGCAAACGACAACUCUCAGUUCGUAGCAGCCAACGACAACUCUGUUGUUGAAGGUGAAGGUCGCAUUGCUGCCUAAUUGGGCGCUAGCGACAGCUACACUUUAAUUCCCGCCCCGUAACACGGGCAGGUGGGGCUUGGGCGGCAGCCUCGCAACAGAAUGCCGCCCGCU
rnacentral:tmRNA from 1 species